CAACGAGCGCAACCCCUUAUCUUUUAGNUGCUACCAUUUAGUUGAGAACUCUAAAGAGACUGCCGGUGAUAAACCGGAGGAAGGCGGGGACGACGUCAAGUCAUCAUGGCCCUUAUGGGAUGGGCUACACACGUGCUACAAUGGGGGGUACAAAGAGCAGCUAGCUGGCGACAGUGCGCGAAUCUCAUAAAACCCUUCGUAGUCCGGAUUGGAGUCUGCAACUCGACUCCAUGAAGUCGGAAUCGCUAGUAAUCGUGAAUCAGAAUGUCACGGUGAAUACGUUCCCGGGCCUUGUACACACCGCCCGUCACACCAUGGGAGUGGGUUGCAAAAGAAGUAGGUAGUCUAACCUUCGGGAGGGCGCGUAAACACUUUGUGAUUCAUGACUGGGGUGAAGUCGUAACAAGGUAUA
rnacentral:rRNA from 1 species